GAUUCUUUUUGGACGAAUUUGACGGCCGCAAAUCAAACAACCGACCGGUGUUUGGCCUUCAAAUUCAACACCACUAAAAUCGAACGCAAAGGAUUGCAACACGUAGGGUGCAACAAAACCUUUCCCUACAUAUGCGAGCCUCCCUGUCUGGAACCAAGCUGCCCACCGAGCUGCAGGAUUAAUAAAACUCUAUUUGACGCGAAUCAAAAUGUCAAAG